rnacentral:rRNA from 1 species
AUUCUAGAGCUAAUACAUGCUAAAAACCUCGACUUCGGAAGGGGUGUAUUUAUUAGAUAAAAAACCAAUGCCCUUCGGGGCUCCCUGGUGAUUCAUAAUAACUUAACGAAUCGCAUGGCCUUGUGCCGGCGAUGGUUCAUUCAAAUUUCUGCCCUAUCAACUUUCGAUGGUAGGAUAGUGGCCUACCAUGGUUUCAACGGGUAACGGGGAAUUAGGGUUCUAUUCCGGAGAGGGAGCCUGAGAAACGGCUACCACAUCCAAGGAAGGCAGCAGGCGCGCAAAUUACCCAAUCCCGACACGGGGAGGUAGUGACAAUAAAUACUGAUACAGGGCUCUUUUGGGUCUUGUAAUUGGAAUGAGUACAAUUUAAAUCCCUUAACGAGGAACAAUUGGAGGGCAAGUCUGGUGCCAGCAGCCGCGGUAAUUCCAGCUCCAAUAGCGUAUAUUAAAGUUGUUGCAGUUAAAAAGCUCGUAGUUGAACCUUGGGCCUGGCUGGCCGGUCCGCCUCACCGCGUGCACUGGUCCGGCCGGGCCUUUCCUUCUGGGGAGCCGCAUGCCCUUCACUGGGUGUGUCGGGGAACCAGGACUUUUACUUUGAAAAAAUUAGAGUGUUCAAAGCAGGCCUAUGCUCGAAUACAUUAGCAUGGAAUAAUAGAAUAGGACGUGUGGUUCUAUUUUGUUGGUUUCUAGGACCGCCGUAAUGAUUAAUAGGGAUAGUCGGGGGCAUCAGUAUUCAAUUGUCAGAGGUGAAAUUCUUGGAUUUAUUGAAGACUAACUACUGCGAAAGCAUUUGCCAAGGAUGUUUUCAUUAAUCAGUGAACGAAAGUUAGGGGAUCGAAGACGAUCAGAUAC